rnacentral:lncRNA from 1 species
AAAAGAAGAUAAAGUGUAAUAUACCGGAUUUUAAUAUAAAAGUAAAUAUAAAUAAAAAUAGUGUGAGAUACUAUUUUUAUUGGACUUAAAGAAGUAAAAUAUAAGUCGGAAAUGACUUAUGUUGAAAUCGGAACGGAAACAGAAGAUUUAGAUUUUUCUGUUGGAAACGGGGCUGAUAUUUUAACAAAAAAUGCACAGUAUCAGAAAAUUAUGAAAACUUGGAAAUAUGUCGGGAUUAUUUUUAUGAGGCUAGAUUUAAAGUUUCAUGUCAAUCCGACACCCGAAUGGUGGAAAAUAAAAUCCGACUGCUAUUUGCUAGAGAUUACAGUUUGGUAGAGCUUUCGGUGACCAAAUAUGGUCCAAACUGAAAAGUUAAGAUAUAUUCCAUUUAUUUGGCAAAACCGAGCCUGACUGUCAAAUUUGAACGAAAACAGACAUUCAGAAGGGCCGCAAAAAGUAUCUGUACCUCAGCUGCUAAACUAUUAGUGUGAAUAGUGUAUUGUUAAGGGGGCUUUUU